GAUGAACGCUGGCGGCGUGCCUAACACAUGCAAGUCGAACGAAGCACCUUAAAGUUUUCGGACAGAGAGGUGACUGAGUGGCGGACGGGUGAGUAACGCGUGGGUAACCUGCCUCAUACAGGGGGAUAACAGUUAGAAAUGACUGCUAAUACCGCAUAAGCGCACAGAGCUGCAUGGCUCGGUGUGAAAAACUCCGGUGGUAUGAGAUGGACCCGCGUCUGAUUAGCUAGUUGGUAAGGUAACGGCUUACCAAGGCGACGAUCAGUAGCCGACCUGAGAGGGUGACCGGCCACAUUGGGACUGAGACACGGCCCAAACUCCUACGGGAGGCAGCAGUGGGGAAUAUUGCACAAUGGGGGAAACCCUGAUGCAGCAACGCCGCGUGAUUGAAGAAGUAUUUCGGUAUGUAAAGAUCUAUCAGCAAGGAAGAAAAUGACGGUACUUGACUAAGAAGCCCCGGCUAACUACGUGCCAGCAGCCGCGGUAACAC
rnacentral:rRNA from 1 species